rnacentral:rRNA from 1 species
AGCAGCAGCCACGGGAAUACGUAGGUGGCGAGCGUUGUCCGGAAUCAUUGGGCGUAAAGGGAGCGCAGGCGGGCAUGUAAGUCUUUCUUAAAAGUUCGGGGCUCAACCCCGUGAUGGGAAAGAAACUACAUGUCUUGAGUACAGGGGAGGAAAGCGGAAUUCCCAGUGUAGCGGUGAAAUGCGUAGAUAUUGGGAGGAACACCAGUGGCGAAGGCGGCUUUCUGGACUGCAACUGACGCUGAGGCUCGAAAGCCAGGGGAGCGAACGGGAUUAGAGACCCCCGUAGUCCCUGUCUCUUAUACA